UGAGCUGAUUUCAAUCAGUAAAUUGAUUGAU
rnacentral:piRNA from 1 species